GUUAUCACUUGUUGGGGCUGCCAUUAAAGAGAAAACAGCUCACCCUGAAGGGUAACUGAGGCCACUUCCAGGAGGCGAGAGCAGCGGACCCUCCUCUUUGACUGCAGGGUGAGGUGGUGUGUGGGAAGGAUGCAAAACACAAGGGGUUUUGUCUUGGACUCUCCUGUCCUUUGAUUUCCUAGGUAUAGGGGAACACCCAGAAGCCCUGCCCUCCGCCCCCCACCCCCUGCGAGUUGCUUCCUCUGAUCUGUGAAUUCUGGCUUCUCCAACGUUUCUGAUAUGAUGAUUCAGGAGAAAAGUGGACUUGUCAGAGACAGGAAGGGAAGAUAAAAAUAAAAUCAAGUUAGCCAGGCCUAUGAGUUCCUGUCAUCUUAGUCAUCCCCCGCUGCCCUUCCCCGUAAAUAUCCACAAUCUUAAAAAUCCCACAGCCCUGCGCAGAGUGGGAGCCAGACUUUGGGGUCCAGGUCAAGGCCAGAGGGUGAAGGGGACAUGAUUCAGCGCUGUGGGCCUGCGGACGGAUGGGGGAAGCGGGGCCCUGCAGGGCCCCCCCAGGACGCAGGGCUGUGGGCUAUGAGUCCUGCCUCACCCUGCAGCCUGCACCGCCUCUGCUUCUCCAAGCUGGAGCCGCCGAGUGAUUGAUGGGCCCCAGCUUGAAUGGAAAGUCCAGAUUCCAGCAACACAGCUUAAGAGAUGAAGGUUGCUUGAGCAGGAAAUCCACCCAUGGCCCAAAGAGGAAAGAUCCGCUUUAAAUGCCUGGGCAUAUACUUCCAAGAACCAGAUGUGGCCUGUUCCUUACACCUCCCCGGGCUUAGAGGACAGCUUGAACUCUGCGGCUGAUGGAAUUGAGCAGAUGGGAAUGACCUGGAAUCUAACACUCUACAAUUCAGACACACCACUGUCCACUUGUCCCUCCCUUCCUGCCACUGGCCCUGCCAGCGUACCUUGUGUACUUCGCAAAGGUCACUGGCUCCUGUUUUAUGUAAUGACUGACAGGCGAUCUCGCCCAGCUCAGCAAUGUGAACAGACACCUUGCAUGGUGCCGGUGGUGGGUGCGGUUGUUUCUGGAUGUCAUGGAAGAGGCUGGAGCAUUCCAGGGCUUUCCCCAAUUGUGCCUAAAAUAAAUUGGCUCUUGAGAGGUUUCUGUGUGCCUCUGGUCUGUGCUUUGGUCAUGUUAUUUAUGCAGGACAAGAGUGAUAUAAUCCAACAUGAACGUUUUCUCCUAUUAGCAAUUUGGUCUCAUCAGUUUUGUUAAUGGGAUAACAAGAGGUGCCAGUUAUGGUGCAAAAGUCCCAUCAUGUUGGUAAUUUUCACUGUAACGUGUUAGCAAUCUGUCACUAUUUGUUUCCAGCAAUUCUGGCAAGAGUCUGCUUACAUCAGGGGCUCCAAUUUUCUCUCCACGCCACCAGGCUGUUCUCCCUUUCCCUGGCGAGGUAGCCUCCCCUAUUUCGAUCUGUCUCUGUCCAUCCGGCUGUGCCCUUGUUUCUCUGUCUCCCGUGUUUCUCUCUCUGUCCCCUCCCAGCCCUCUGAUAACCUACUGCAGUGUUUGUAUUGGAGGGAAACACUGUUCGGGAGCAGCUUGCAGUGAUAGAAUUCCAGAGCUGGAAGCUUGCAACUCUCUUCGCCCCACUUCCCCCAUUUGCCACUUGGAGAAAUGAGAGCCAGAGAGAAG
ensembl:lincRNA